AACGAACGCUGGCGGCGCGUCUUAAGCAUGCAAGUCGAACGGCAAGGUUAGCAAUAACCCUAGAGUGGCGGACUGGUGAGUAACACGUGGGUGACCUACCCUUAAGUUGGGGAUAACCAUUAGAAAUAGUGGAUAAUACCGAAUACGCUUGCUGUCGCUUUGGCGAUGCAAGGAAAGGAGCUACGGCUCCGCUUGAGGAUGGGCCCGCGUCCCAUUAGCUAGUUGGUGAGGUAAAGGCCCACCAAGGCGACGAUGGGUAUCCGGCCUGAGAGGGUGUACGGACACAUUGGGACUGAGAUACGGCCCAAACUCCUACGGGUGGCAG
rnacentral:rRNA from 1 species